rnacentral:tRNA from 1 species
GCAGUGGUGGUUCAAUGGUAGAAUUCUCGCCUUUCAUGCCCGGACGCCCAGGUUUGCUUCCAGGCCAAUGCA